GGGUUCUGCCCUCCUCUGUAGUGAUAGAGCAUCUGCUUUGCAUGCAGAAGGGCUCAGGUUCAAUCCCUGGCCA